rnacentral:rRNA from 1 species
CCAAGAAUAUUAGUCAAUGCUCGCAAGAGUGAACGAGCUAACUGAAAGAAUAUAUAAUCUAAAGUUAGGAAUCUUAUAAUUUUUAUUAUAAGUUUAAAGACGAAUCUAACUAACAGUGUCGUCCAAAUUCUGGUGCCAGAAGACUCGGUAAUACCAGAGACGCGAACGUUAAUCAUCUUGAAUGGGCAUAAAGGGUUUGUAGGCGGCUUAUUUAUUAAUAGGCUAGAAUCUUAUAGAGGUUAAUAAAAUACUUAGAGGAGGGCUGAUAUCCUUAGAUCCUAAGUGGAAUCCUAAUUGCGAAGGCCAUUUUCCACUACAGAUUGACGCUGAUACACGAAGGUUAGGAUAGGAACUAGGAUUAGAGACCCUAUUACCCCUAACUGUAAACGAUGAAUGGAAGAUAUUUACAACUGUAAGUGUCGAAGUGAAUACGAUAACCAUUCCGCCUUGCCAGUAUACUUGCAAAAGUGAAAACAAAAAAAUUAGUCGGUCCUAAAGCAAACGAAGUGAAGCAUGUUAUUUAAUUC